GAAGCGCAAUGGAUGGCGCGUUGGGUUGGACUUCUAAUCCAAAGGACAUGGGUUAAAAUUCCACCUGAGAUG